CGCGAUCGGCAUCAUGGAGUGUGUGCCGGUUCACGCGUUUUGCUCUUGACGAACGACGCGAUAGUUGCACUUAUUUACAAACGAAGUGAUGACUGCGUGAAUACGUUGUUUUUCUCCGCGAAGAUAUACGCAGUGCUUGCGGCUAUUUGGUACGUCCGCAAUCUAACUACACCUGACAACGAAGCGCUCUGUCGUAAACAUUUGGCACCUGCCAGUCGCCGAUUUCUUGUACCACCAGUGAGUGUUAUGGCCCCACCGUCCCCACCACUGACAAGGCCAGCUGCUGAUGCUUCCCUGACAGAUAUGGCGGGGGAAGUCCUUACCAAUGGCAAUGCCUAUGAAGAAAUUGCCCAGAUUGGUACAGGUGCCUUUGGCACUGUGUACAAGGCCCGAGACCGUCAGAACGAAGGACGUUUUGUUGCCCUCAAGAAAGUGCGUGUAUCACUCAACGAGGAAGGCAUCCCCACUGGAACGCUGCGUGAAAUUGGCCUCCUCCGUCAGCUGGAUGCUGCGCAGCACCCAAAUGUGGUGCGUCUGCUGGACAUCUGCCAUGGCAAUCGGCUGGAACGGGAGCUGGUGCUUUUUCUUGUCUUUGAGCACAUUGACCAGGACUUGGCAGGUUUCUUGGAGCGCUGCCCUGAACCAGGCCUUGAGCCUGAGCUCAUUGCCUGGCUUCUGAAGCAGCUGCUGACGGGAGUGGAGUUUCUGCACUCGCAUCGCAUUGUCCAUCGUGAUCUGAAGCCCCAGAAUGUGUUGGUGACUGCUCAGCGACAACUUAAGCUUGCUGACUUUGGCUUGGCUCGCCUCUAUGAGCGGGAAAUGUCACUGACGCCUGUGGUGGUCACGCUGUGGUACCGCCCACCUGAGGUUCUCCUUCAAGCAAAUUAUGGCUCACCAGUGGAUCUGUGGAGCUGCGGCUGCAUCUUGGCGGAAAUGGCACGCCGCAAGCCUCUUUUUGGUGGUCGUUCUGAGGCAGACCAGCUUACGCGUAUCUUAGAGAUCAUGGGACUUCCACCGGCAGAUGAGUGGCCAGCAGAUGCUGCUGUUUCAAGGCAGACAUUCUCUAACUUCAGCACUUUUGGAACUUCUUUGGAGCAAGCAGUGCCACAACUUGAAGGUCCCUUCAUCGAUCUGCUGCAUCAGAUGCUGCGUUUCAGCCCCCACCGUCGCAUCACCGCAAAGGCUGCUCUGUCACACCCAUGCUUGGCAGACGUUAAUGAAGUCGCCGUGUCCUGAUAUAAAACUGUAUGGCAGACACCCGUGCUUGAGAGACGUCUGCAGCAGCACAUGCACAGAGGCAAGGGAAAGAUAUACAUAUGCGCUGGUCCUGGUGGUACCUCCAAUGCCAGUGCAAGCCCUCAUGUAAGCAUUUCUCGAGCAAAAAAAUGUGCUCCUGUUUGCCCAGUGAAAAUUGCUGUGUGUAAAGCGCAUCUUAAUUCUCUGCUCGUAAUCCUCACUUAUUUCUUGCUACUAAGUGAUUCAUGGCAGAUUUCAUUAGCAGGGUCAGCACAACUUUUUCUGUUCUUUUUGGAGCAAGUGCAUUUUAAUGGUAGAGUGAGGGCACGAUCGCAUUUUCCAGUAAGUUAUUUGGAGCAGAUUUUGAUCCUUGAAACAGUUACAGCUGCUCCGCAAAAACCCACGGAGUGAAAUGAAAUUCUGUGUGCUGUAUUGCCUUCAUGCACGCUUUUUCGGUGUUUUAUUGCUUACUGAGCUUGGUGGCGCUGCAGUAGUUGUGGUUUUCUGUAGUAAUGGUGGACAUCAUGGAUGACUCGUCCCAGCAUGCAUCAUUGCUUUUUCAGCUCAAUAGUGGCAGCCCUGAGUUGAAUCUCUAGAACUCUAAGUGCGGUGAACUAUGGCAGUGAACAGUGUAAGUGGGUGACGACAAGCAGGGUAUCCUGAGUAACUCGUGAGUCUGGUAGAGCAUUCCGCUCCCACACUGUACUCUGGUGACAUAGGUCUUGUUCCACUCGUGGAUGAGGAGGCGUUGCUCUUUUGCAGAAAGAAUUGCUCACUCACAGAGUCAGUCCGCUUGAUUGGAAUUCACCAUUAGAACAUUGGACUUCACCAUUAGCAAUGAAUUUAUGCCACACUCACCUUUUUCCUUCAUUGUCACAAUGCUCGUCUGCAGACAUGCUACUGUUGCUGUGGGCUCACUGUGCAGAAAAUAGAGUGCUAGCAUAGGUACUAGCAAGAGGUCAAUGACUCAUUUCCUGGCUCACUACGCAGGAAAGUCAUUAGGUGACACCUCACUGGUCACCUGAUGACCAGUGAGGGGUUUUUGCAAGGGCUUGGCUGAAAUUUGAGCUGCCAUUCUUUGCAUGGCAGAUCUGCAGGUACUGAUGACCAUUAUGUUGGGUGCACCUGUGAUAGGCAUUAAAGAGUGUGCACAUAAUAUUUGGAGCCAGUCACAAAUGCGACGCGACAGCUAUGAAUUUGCUAUUCAGAUCUACAGUAGCACCCGUGAUGGUCCGAGAACUUUACGUUAGCAGAAAAUUACUGCCAACUGUAACUCAGAUGUGUUACUACCUACUAAAGGUAGCAGCAGUUGAUCAUGAUAUCUAUCAAUGAAUUGGUGCUGUCCUUUAUUUUGUUGUCAUUUAAUGCAGAUUGUGCAUAAUGUUCCUUUUAUGUCAGCUCAGCUCUGAAACCAGAGUGUCUAGCAUUUGCAGAGAAAUUGCAUUUGCAUUUGUCUAGCUGCUGACACACUUCUUGUGCUGAAGUAUACUAUAUUCGUUCUUGUCGUACAAAGAAGUGUGCAUUAGCUGAAGAUGUUUUCAGAUGUGCCAUACUCAUCUCAUACUUGUGCCUUAUGGUAUGCUUGCAUGUUUGCAAUGAGCAUGUGCGUUUUUUAGUUAUCUUGGAUACAGCAUAUCAAAACAUUGCUAUAUCAGAUAAUUUUUUACCAUUGUAUACAUAUCACCACUUUUGGUGCAUCGGAUAUGCUGACAGGGUGAGCAGCUCAUGUGAUGACACAUUGCAAUGGUGCCUUCAACCAGAUGUGACUUUUGACAGAAUAAAAGCGUCCUGAUAUAACAGGUCCUGUGAAGGCCUUGUUAUGGGGAACGAA
rnacentral:misc_RNA from 1 species